AGCUAGCAAGAGCUCCACUCUACUUGGUUUGGAGGGCAGUUGUUUUCUUGAUACUCGGGGUCGGGUGGUGGGCGGUGAGUUUAAAGCGCCCGGGGUGUCUCUCUUUAACGUGUCCUUGGGAAUAUCUUUUCAGAGGGUAUGAGGUGGGGUUUGAAAUGAAAUUCCUCUCCUCACGCCUAUAAGUUCUCCAUCACCACCUCAAUCCUUGUCCUCCCUCCCCACCCCUCUCUCUCUCUCUCCGUGUCUUUGUGUGUGUGUGUGUGUGUGUGGGUGACAAGGUGUUGUAGGGUUUAGGAAGAAGUGGGGUUGGGUUGGCUGAGAAAAAUGGGAAGGUGGAAGAGCUUUAGAAGUGAUAUGGCUUCCACAGCUUAUCAAAGCAGAAGAAGAAAAGGUUUUGGCUACAAGAAUCUUUCCCUUCUUGUUCUUCUAUUCUGUAGAGGAUCUAUGUGUCCAUGCUUGUGAUUUUAGCUGAAGGAAAAUGAUAUUAUCAUUUACUUUCACUUGAUGGUAUAUGAAUUUUGAGUACAGUGACCCAUACAUUAAGAUAUCGAUGUAGAGAUGGGAGGCUUGAUUGGUGCAAUACAUCAUUGCCUAAUAUUCUUUUGGUAUGUUGGUUUUUACAUGCAUCCCAUACAACAUCUCUAUGAGCUAGCGAAGGUCGAUUUCAACCAAAUAAAUGAAAAAAGGGUCUAAGUUUCUUGAUAUGUGCUUGCCAUGUGGCUAAUGAUGCACCAAUAAUGAUGUUUUAUGGAAAAUGAUAUCAUAGAUUUUAGCUUCCUUUUGUUUCUCAGUUUAUAGAUCACGGAAGCAUUCGUUUUUGUUAAUUAUAAAGAAAAUCAGGAGGAAAUCUUUCUCCUUCUCGAUUUCUUUCAUGACCAUGACUCAUUCAUCGACAGGUUUUUGUGUUUCGUUCAACUUCUCGGUGACUGAAGGUUGAUGGUUCAUCACUUCUCAAAAAAUAAUUAACUAGGUUUAUUGAGAAUGCUUACCUCUUGGUUCAUAGAUCAGACAAGUAUUCUUACAUGGUUUUUUUUUUCUUUUCACAAAGAAAAUAAGGUGGAAAUCCCUCUCCUCCAUUCUUAAUUUCCUCGACAGAUGGAACCAUUCAAAGAUGGUUUUGAUAUCUUUUAUGAAAAUUAUCAGAGCGGAAAUUGUAGUGAUUUAUUCAUGACAUCGAUGUGAUCUUUGUACAACAACUGGAAUCUCUUAAAGCUUGGGACAAGACAGAAUGAAAAAAUGGAAACAAUAACCAAAAAAAAUUCGAUAAUCAUGGGAAAAAUAUAACAUAUACAAAAUAAAACAAUGGGAUAUAUCCAGGAUUUUGGGAAUUGAUUUGGAAACAUAUCGAAAAAGAAGUGAGUAAGAAAUUCAUACAAACUAGGAUAUAUGGAAGAUUUCUAUUGGUUGUGCAACUUAGCUUCACAUCUAAUACAUUGGGUGAUUGGUUUUAUAUAAACAGUGAAUUUUACUAAGAUUUUUGUUUAGCCUUUUCUAGCCUGCAUUGUAGAGUAUACAAAACAUUGAUUGCUGUGACAUGAUAUUCCUAAUAUAAAACACAUGCUAUUCUUUUUUUUUUUUAUGAUGGAGAACGCUAUCCUUGAGCCACCAUCUCAUUGUACAUUCUAACAUUCUAACUCUGUGAUCACUCCCUAAAAACUCCAAAUCACAACUUGAUACCACUGUUCUCAUUUUGUUUGGACCACCAUGUGCCUCUUUGCAACUAGUCUACAAAAUGGAGUCAGGAAUUCUGAAACCAUAGUUGUCACCGAAAAAUUCAGUGGCACAUUACCAUAUCUCUAUCUACCACUAGAUCUUCUUCUUCUCAUUCAACACUAGUUCCUCCUGGCACUGUGGCAUGGUCUCCCUUACUACUUAAUAGGGUGUUUGUGUGUGUGUGUGUGUUUUUUCUGAAAAAUUGUGUGGCUAUCAGAAAGAGAACAUGUCUACGGGGACCCACUAAAUGAGCAGGCUCCCAUUUGAGCCUGGCAAGCUGCAUUUUGUUGUUUUGCUCCCGAACCGAGACGUAAAGAAUUCUAUCUCCGGGGAAGGGUGUCAGCUUUCUAUUUUUCCAAGGUUUGAUAGGAUGGUGUCUUCCACAGCCACAAGUCUCUCAUAUGCGUCUCCAUGGCGGUGUGAAGACUGAAGAGUAUACUGAGCUCGUGACUCUUUUGCACGGCUGCAUGCUCCCACCUGCGUUACUCCCACCCUACCCUUCUCCUGAUGCUCUAAUGAUGCAUUUGAGGUGCAGAUUCUAAAAUAGCGGCAGCUAGAGGAAGUUCAAUUUUAACAUCUCAGUCUAUAAAGCAGAGUUGAGGAUAGCUUGAGUUGGCCUUGACCAUACUCGGCGUAUAUUGAGAACCAGUACCACUUUGUUGGAAGAUGACUCGGCCACAGUAGCUGGAUUUAGCGGCAUGCGAGAGAGGUACGGAUCUAUCUCCUGCUUCGGGACAUCUGGAGUUUAGCGAGAGGAUGUGUUUUCUUUUGGGCAAAACACAUCUAUAGGAAAGUGAACAGUGUAGCGGAUUGGAUGGCUUCCUUUGUGGUGGAUCGCUCCAGUGGAGUUCUCUGAACCGAUGAGGCGCAGUUGCUAAGGAUCUUUCGAGACUUCUUGUUUUCUGACUUUUUUGAAUGUAUUCGUAUUAGAGAUGUAUGAAUCGCCUAAUGUAGCAAAAAAAAAAAAAGAUUAAUCAACAAAUUGCUUACAUGCUAAUGAUGGAUUAUAUUGUGAGGAUUGUACAUGAAUCAAGAAAAAUUUUCCUAGUU